AAGUCGUAACAAGGUUUCCGUAGGUGAACCUGCGGAAGGAUCAUUAUCGUGGGGCUUCGGCCCCGUCGAGAUUGCACCCUUGCCUUUAUAGUACCUUGGUUCCCUCCCGUACCUCCGGGACGGGAGGGACCUCGUCUGUUUCCCCGCGGCGGCGAGAGCCCCCGGGGACCGCGAAACACGCUGUAACCACCUGUAACUGUCUGAUAAACAAACAAAAAAUCAAAACUUUCAACAACGGAUCUCUUGGUUCUG
rnacentral:misc_RNA from 1 species